GAGACAAGAGAAGUUGGCCAGCUUGCUUGAAAAUGAAAUUUUGGGCCAUUAAAACAUAAUUAAAAGUUGGCUGGUUUUAAAAAUCUUUACAGAAACAACCUGAGAUACAAAAUGCAAAAUAGCAGCAAGGUUUGUCUUAUGACAGGGGACUUGGCGGGGGACUGUGCCUUCUCCACCGUACUUUAGACUCAGUGGAACCCGUGCUGCUUGUACAGGGAAGGGAACAGCCUGCUGAGCUCUCACUGUACUUACAACAGAACAACACCUGGAAAACAGCACCUCCACCAGCCUGAGCAGAUUUAUGCAACUGUCUUGGAAAAACGAGUGAGCUUUUGCCCCCAGACUGCCACUGUUCGUUUGUGGAAGCCCCUGCCGUGGAAGCUUCCGUGGACUUUUAUGUUUUGAAAGCGUGUUUUCACUGAAGUAACUCUUGGGAACAUGCCCUAAAUGUGUUAACUUCCUGUGUUCUUUUUGCCAUUGAGUUCGUUUCCAGGUAUCACAGGACUGGCCUGGUGGUUUUCCUGCCCAACACAGACACCAAGUGAACAGUGUCACCAAGUCUCUGAGAAAACGGGGCUGGGCCACAAGCAAGGCAGGAAGGACGUGGCCCUGGGACCUGACAAGUAGCAUCAUUACGGCGUGUUCAGCACCAGCAACCAGUCACAGAGUUCGGCCUGACACGUCAGUGCUCACUUUGUAGACGGUUUUUGGAGGGUCGCACUUCAGCGUAGUCCCAGGCAACUGAAUCCUCGUGACUGUGCUGAGCAGUGAGCACAGCGACUGCUGGGUCUGGGCCUCGUCUCAUCUGGAGAGCUCCGCUCCUCACAAAGACAGCGGUAUCUUUUCAGAAGGAGCUGAAGGUUGGAGCACAGUGAGCACACUUUUCCCGCCGGCUUCGUGUGUGAGGCUUCUUGCCCAGGGAAACUGCCUCUCGAUGCCAUGUGAGAAGAAGUGCUGAACCAACAAAGGGAAACCGCAGUUCCCCCUGUGGUACGACUGCCACAAACAUUUAUUUGAGUAUACCGUUUUACUCUCACUAACCCUUUGGAAAUUUGCCAUAAAAUCACAUCAGGUUUAAAGUUAAAAAAAAAAUCACUACAUUAGACUCACUGGUUGCUUACUCAAUGGGAACAUUUUUUUAUUUACUCUGUAUCACACAUUUUUAUAACUUUGUCUCAUUGUGGGCCCAGAACAGCACAGUAUUCAACCACAUUAAGCCAAAUGAACAAAACAUAAUGAAUUGUUUAAAUUAUUUAAUUAAUGAGGAUUCAUACACCUGGAAUUAAAAAAAAUGCCUCUGUGAGAUCGAAACACCUCCAAUCAGACUGACCCAGGAAGUGGGGAUGAGUUAAUUAUUUUGAGGCUUAAAUAAAGAACAUACCAAGCAAACCAGAGACAAUGAAAGAUAAGGGUGUAUAAAUAUGGAAGCAUAAUUCCUAGUAGUAUAUGAUUUUAUGUUUUCCUUUCUAAUAGUUGGGGGUUUUUUUUAUUGCCUUACUUGCCUUAUUAUGCUGGCUAGGAUUUCCUGUUGCUGUGUAUUGGUUCGUUAUGAUUUCAAGUCUAAUUCUUAUGCCUUAAGUGAAGUUAUUGGGUUGUAGGAGAAGUCAUGAUGCAUUUUUGCAACGAAAAAUAUAGAAAAAGGGUCGGCCGAGUGGCAUUGCUGGUUAAGAGCU